CAUCCAAACGCAUCAACAACCAUUUCCUCCCUGCAGCCGCGGUUUGGACUGCCCGGAACGUCCAGCCAAGCCGGGGUUGAGUCCUGCCAACAGGGAGACUGCAGACUGCGGUGCUGGGCAGGGGCAGGGCCGCUCCUGCCGCCGCACGCCAAAGCUUUCCGCCUCCUCCCGAGUGAUUUAAGAGGGUUCGGGACCCAGAUAAGACCCCGCCCUUGCAGCCACGACCCCGGAACGGGAGGAGGAGAGAGGCGGCCUCGGCUCAGCAGAGCCAAGCCUUUGGAAAAACAGGCUGCUCCUCCCCAGCGACCAGCAGCGGCCCGGGCUGGGCGAGCGGCGCGUCGCUGCCGGUGCGCGCCGAGCGGCUCCCAGAACCCCUGACUCUGGAGUGGCGGAUUGGAAUCCUCCUGGAUGUGGAAUCCAAGACUGGCUUGAGACCUCCUGACAUCUCUGAGCUUUGGCUUCCACAUCUGUGGAACAAGGACAAUAGAGCUUCCUGGCCUCAGAGGAGACUGCGAGAUGACCUACAAGGUCAGGUUCUUGGCAGAGAAUGACAAAGUAAUUGUCUCCAUCACAGCCACCCACAGUCCCCAAACCUACAAAGAGCUGCUGGGCCUGGAGUCCUUGAGUUUGGAACAUCCUUGCCCCCAAAAAGCCCACCCCCACCCCCCAUAUUGUCGAAGCUUCGGGAGUCUACCUGAAGAGGUAGAGGGAGGAUGGCUGCUCUACCCGGAAAAGCUCGAGUGUUACCUAGCAAUACCUUAACCCCAGCUCCAGCUCACAACAGGGCACCCUGGGGCUCUCGUCACACGCCACCCCCCCACCACCAGUGCCUUCGAAAGCAGACCCUGAAAAUCUCUCAUAGACUAAAAAAAGCAGGGAUGCCCGCCCCCCCCAGCUCAGAUUAAACACAGGCUGUCUUUCCCGGCCCUCCAGCUUCCUGCCUCCUCUCCACGCCCCUCCUCCCCCCCCUCCCCUCUUUGUCUACUGUCUUUCCACCUCCGCUUCUCCCCACUCACCCCUCUCCCUGACAGCAGCCGCCUUGCCACCUUACCCCACAGAGAGUCAGGGCCCAGAGCCCUCCCCACUCUGCUUCAGACCCAGCAUGACUCUCCACUCUGCCUUGUGGAAUGGCCCAGGCCCUGAACUUUUUCCCUCUGGGUAUCCGAUUCCUUCCCUCCCAUUGAUGCAUAACCUGGGCCCUGGGCUCCUUGUCUAGAGUCACAUUGGGUGCCUCCUGCUGUCUUAUGAGUCAGGAAGCAGGUAGCCAAGGGGGUCCCUCUGGGGGACCUGGCUCCCCUCCUUACCAACUAGACACCCGGGAGGGGUUUUGGGGACCUGUCACUGGGCAAGCAGGUGAGGCAGGUUUGGGGGUCCUGAGUCUGAUUGUCCACAAGCUCAGGGCUUACUGCCCAGACCUUUGGGGCAUCCCCAUGUGGGGUUCCUGGUAGGGUCUUCUUGACCCCCUACUCCCUCCCUCUCUUCCUUCUAGGCAGCGACCCUUCCCCUAGCUGUUGAUAAGCCCCUCAAACACAUCACAGCCACACCCUGUAUGCAGGAGGAGCUGUUUGAGCAGAUGUUUCAUAUACAAAACAACAAUAGUCAUUAUUUUGUUGAAUGGAUCGCCAACAACCGAAGCCAUCUGUUUUCUUCAACAACCUACCCUAAGCCUAAAAAUGCCUGCCGCCUCCCAUGCCAAAAACACGACCACCCAAGAGCUGUCUGAGCAUAUCUAUAAGUAGUUCUCUGCCCGGAUCCACUGCAAGGCUACAAAUAGUCCCUGACACCCCCAACCUUCCCUCUGAUGGGGCCUCAUGAAGGAAGAGACAGAGCUUUACAUUCUGCACUAUGGGUUAUGGCUUGCUUUCUCCCCCGCCCCCACCCUUGGUGUUUUCUUUGCUUAAACAAACAAACAGACACACCUAUUUUACUCUGAAGAUGAAUCUCUUGCCAUCUACAGAUUUACUACCAGACCCAUAUCUAGCUUCCCACCCCCCUACUGCUGACCCAACUUCUGAAGCUCAUGCUGAAAGAGCGCCCAUCUCCACAUCCUCUGCUACCCCCGUGCCCAUCACCAUUCCUGAAUCCUGCGUUUUCCCCUCUGACUGCAGCAGAGAAAUCCUGGAAAGAUGUCGUUGGACUACGUGUAUUUUUUUUUCCCUUCACUUUUUAUUACACAAGUAAGACAGUAUACCUCUAUUAUUAAAAAUAUCUCAAAAAGGGGGGCACCUGGGUGGCUCAGU